AUGGCCUGGACCCCUCUCCUCCUCGGCCUCCUUGCUCACUGCGCAGGCUCUGCGGCCUCCUAUGUUUUGACGCAGCCGUCCUCGGCUUCUGUGAACCUGGGACAGACGGCCAGGAUCACCUGUGGGGGAAUCAACGUUGGAAGUAAAAAUGUUAAGUGGUUCCAGCAGAAGCCCGGCCAGGCCCCUGUGCUGGUCAUCUAUGAGAGCAGCAGCCGGCCCUCAGGGAUCCCUGACCGAUUCUCAGGCUCCAACUCGGGGAACACGGCCACCCUGACCAUCAGCGGGGUCCAGGCCCAGGACGAGGCGGACUAUUUCUGUGGUGCAGCUGAGGGCAGUGGGAGCAGCUGGCAUUAA